rnacentral:rRNA from 1 species
GACGAACCGUGCGAACGUUGUUCGGAAUCACUGGGCUUAAAGGGCGCGUAGGCGGGCUGACAAGUCUGGGGUGAAAUGCCGCGGCUCAACCGUGGAACUGCCUCAGAUACUGUCGGCCUCGAGGAAGGUAGGGGCAUGCGGAACUGUAGGUGGAGCGGUGAAAUGCGUUGAUAUCUACAGGAACUCCGGUGGCGAAAGCGGCGUGCUGGACCUUUUCUGACGCUGAGGCGCGAAAGCUAGGGGAGCAACGGG